UACGUAGGUGGCAAGCGUUGUCCGGAAUUAUUGGGCGUAAAGCGCGCGUAGGUGGUUUCUUAAGUCUGAUGUGAAAGCCUACGGCUCAACCGUGGAGGGUCAUUGGAAACUGGGGAGCUUGAGUGCAGGAGAGAAGAGUGGAAUUCCACGUGUAGCGGUGAAAUGCGUAGAGAUGUGGAGGAACACCAGUGGCGAAGGCGACUCUUUGGCCUGUAACUGACACUGAGGCGCGAAAGCGUGGGGAGCAAACAGG
rnacentral:rRNA from 1 species